AUUGAACGCUGGCGGCAGGCCUAACACAUGCAAGUCGAACGGUAACAGGAAGCAGCUUGCUGCUUUGCUGACGAGUGGCGGACGGGUGAGUAAUGUCUGGGAAACUGCCCGAUGGAGGGGGCUAACUACUGGAAACGGUAGCUAAUACCGCAUAACGUCGCAAGACCAAAGAGGGGGACCUUAGGGCCCCUUGCCAUCGGAUGUGCCCAGAUGGGAUUAGCUAGUAGGUGGGGUAACGGCUCACCUAGGCGACGCUCCCUAGCUGGUCUGAGAGGAUGACCAGCCACACUGGAACUGAGACACGGUCCAGACUCCUACGGGAGGCAGCAGUGGGGAAUAUUGCACAAUGGGCGCAAGCCUGAUGCAGCCAUGCCGCGUGUAUGAAGAAGGCCUUCGGGUUGUAAAGUACUUUCAGCGGGGAGGAAGGGAGUAAAGUUAAUACCUUUGCUCAUUGACGUUACCCGAAGAAGAAGCACCGGCUAACUCCGUG
rnacentral:rRNA from 1 species